GGAUGUGAGGGCGAUCUGGCUGUGACAUCUGUCACCCCAUUGAUCGCCAGUUGAUUCGACUGAUCUGGCUGGCUAGGCGGCUGUCCCCUUCCUCCCUCACCACUCCACGUGCGACCCUCCCCACUAGAGGAGGACCGGUCUUCAGUCAAGGGUAUACGAGUAGCUGCGCUCCCCUGCUAGAACCUCCAGACAAGCUCUCAACAAUGAUUUGUUAAUUGAAUUUCAAGGCAGAUUGACAGGCGGUGGUAGCAGCUAUAUGGAACAUUUCACGAUGUUGAGGUUGGCUAAUCAU
rnacentral:snRNA from 1 species